UACGUAGGGGGCGAGCGUUGUCCGGAUUCAUUGGGCGUAAAGCGCUUUAAAGCGGUUCGCUAAGUCGCGUGUGAAAACUCCAGGCUCAACCUGGAGACGCCACGCGAUACUGGCGUGACUAGAGUUCGGUAGGGGAUCACGGAAUUCCUGGUGUAGCGGUGAAAUGCGCAGAUAUCAGGAGGAACACCAGUGGCGAAGGCGGCUCACUGGCCCGGUACUGACGCUGAGGUGCGAAAGCGUGGGGAGCAAACAGG
rnacentral:rRNA from 1 species